CGAGGACCACAUACCGUGCAUUGCCGCCAUCGAUCCAUUCCAGGCGAACUUUCUGUACCUCAUCUAUGGUCGCUUUCUUAUUGUUGUGGACAUGGCUAAGGGGAAAAGCUUAGGGGGCCGGUAUCUUCCAGAAAGAGCCGGCGAUCAAACCCUGUGCCCCUCUGGUUUUCUUGUGCCCUGCACGCUCCCAACAUGGCUAGGGUCCAGCUACAUCCCCUGUGCAGGGUCCCUUUCGAGCAAGAAGACCAAUUCCGGAAGGAACACUUGGGCCGCCACGCUGGUUCAUGCAGACAGGGACUGAUUAUCACCUAAUGAAGACUGAACUGAAGUUCCUUGAAAUUGGCUGCCACCAAAGCUGAUGCUAGCACCUGAAGGACAUGGACUCUCUUGGGAAAAUUCUGGGGUAAUUUUGGGCUUGUUCUGUUGGCCGGUGCAGUGCUCUGUUUGAGAUUGUCGAAUGUUUUCCUAUAUCUUUGGAUCUUUCUAAAGCGCAAACCGGUUGGAUGUGCAUUCCAUCAGCAAGUUAGAUGGAACCAUCUCAGAGAUGCGGCAUUUUUAUUUUAGCAAACCUCGGAAAUGCAAUGUUGCUUGCACUACG